rnacentral:tRNA from 1 species
GCGGGUGUGAUGGAAUUGGCAGACAUGCCAGAUUUAGGUUCUGGUGAGCGAUCGUGCAGGUUCGACCCCUGUCACCCGCACCA